CGUGAAAACGCCCCUCCCUCCACUAAGGACUAAGGAGCCGAUAUCAGGCACAAAUUGCCCAAAACAUCUAGCCAUGCCACACCCACAAGGGCCCUCAGCAGUGAUCAACAUUAAAAAUAAACACCAGUUUGAUUUAGUAAAUGAAAAUAGAGCCGGCUAAUCUGGUGCCAGCCGCCGCGGUUACACCAUGAGGCUCAAAUUGACUUCAUACGGCGUAAAGCGUGAUUAAAGAGAACCCUUAUUCUGGGGCUAAACUUAAACUGAGCUGUAGUACGCCUGUACUUAAGAGACCCAUAUUUCGAAAGAUGCCCCAAAACAUCAACUUGAACUCACAAAAACUAGAAUACAAACUGGGAUCAGAUACCCCACUAUGUCUAGUCGUAAACUUUAACUUACACCACAUCGCCAGGGUACUACGAGCAAAGCUUAAAACCCAAAGGACUUGACGGUGCCCCACAUCCUUCUAGAGGAGCCUGUCCUAUAACCGAUACCCCACGUUCUACCUCACCAUUUUUAGUUCUUCAGCCUGUAUACUUCCGUCGUCAGCUUACCGCAUGAGCGAAAUAAGUAAGCUUAAUGUAAACCCCCAAUACGUCAGGUCAAAGUGCAGCAAAUAAAAUGGCAAGAGAUGGGCUACAUUUUCUAUAAUAGAACACACGAAAGACUAUGUGAAAUCAUAAUCAGAAGGUGGAUUUAGCAGUAAGAAAAAAUAGAAUAUUUCUCUUAACCCAGCACUGGGGCGUGUACACACCGCCCGUCACCCUCUUCAACUAAUUUUCCCCAGUAUUUAACAAUUACCACAUAAUAGAAGAGGUAAGUC
rnacentral:rRNA from 1 species